GAUGAACGCUGGCGGCGUGCCUAAUACAUGCAAGUCGAGCGAACAGAUAAGGAGCUUGCUCCUUUGACGUUAGCGGCGGACGGGUGAGUAACACGUGGGUAACCUACCUAUAAGACUGGGAUAACUUCGGGAAACCGGAGCUAAUACCGGAUAACAUUUGGAACCGCAUGGUUCUAAAGUGAAAGAUGGUUUUGCUAUCACUUAUAGAUGGACCCGCGCCGUAUUAGCUAGUUGGUAAGGUAACGGCUUACCAAGGCAACGAUACGUAGCCGACCUGAGAGGGUGAUCGGCCACACUGGAACUGAGACACGGUCCAGACUCCUACGGGAGGCAGCAGUAGGGAAUCUUCCGCAAUGGGCGAAAGCCUGACGGAGCAACGCCGCGUGAGUGAUGAAGGUCUUCGGCUCGUAAAACUCUGUUAUUAGGGAAGAACAAACGUGUAAGUAACUGUGCACGUCUUGACGGUACCUAAUCAGAAAGCCACGGCUAACUACGUG
rnacentral:rRNA from 1 species